CCGUGCUGUGCCGGGGAAGCCACACUCUGGAGCAGGGCUCUGAUCAGUUCAGUAGCUGCAGAUCUUGUGGCAUUGGUUUUCAGGAGCACUCAGGUGACAGUCCCAGCGGCCAGGCCAAACUACUAGUGGGUUGGAGACAGAAGGCCACCAAACAGGUUUGAAGGGAUGAGGAAACAUUUAGGUCAUUUUUAUCCAGAGCUCGUCUGCUAUCUCUAGAUCUUGCCAAGUGGGCACGAUACCAGGAACAGGAGUUUCAGUGAGAUUACACCAAAUGCAACACAUCUGAAUGUACAUGGCACGAUGGAGAUGCAGGCAGUUUUAAGGGAAGGGAGCCAAACUGGUGACCCAGCUAGUCUGGUGGAAACUAAACUCACUGUUUGGAGAUCAGCUUGUCUGCAUGGAGCAAGUGGGUCGUCUCCAAUAGCCACCCAUGUGGGGUCUGCCCAAGCUGCACUAACGGGGAAGACUACAGGGAUGCUGGAAAGGUCUGAACUGGUCUUCACAGGGUAGAUCAAGGGCUGCACACAGGUUUUGAAGUGAAAGAGAUCCAAUUAAACUCCUAGAUUCUCUAGAACACUGUGUUUUCGAGGGCAAAGUGGGGAUAUUUAUUUUUACUCCUUUUCCUUUCUUCUUCUGGCUGUGGAGCAAUGUGGGCUGUACACAGUGUAGGAUGUGAGCACAUACUGUACAUCUGAGGUGAGAUGAAACACAAAUAUGCCUUUUCAUAAUAACAUUUACACCUGGAAGAGAAGACCGGUUUAUUACCUUGGUAAACAAAAGUUAGAAUUCAAGCAAAGUACAAACUUUGCCCCAGGCGAUUCUGACAGCGCACCUUGUGUUUGUGAAGUGAACUCGGCUGCUAAUGUGCAGCAUGAAGCAACGGGCCCAUUUUCAACCCUCCCCCAUCCCAUCAUCUAUGGCCUAAAGUUUAAAAGUUAAUGUUUUUUUCUUAGAGGGGAUGCUUUGAGGUGCUGAGAUGCACCCGGCCACACCAGCCAAGGGGGCCUCUGUUGGUGGGGAGGGCUGUGUGUGGCAUAUCUCUGCUGUGCAUCAGUUUUCUCCCUUCGCAGAGAGGGUGAGGAUUACAAGAUGUGUAGAUUUAGCAAUAUGUGCUGUGCCAAACUGAGACUUGUGCUGCAGGCAUACGCUAAUGGGGAAGAAAUACCUAGAGUGCUUCCCUGCACAUGGUAGCAAGGCUGUGUUCCAGCCUAGUACCCAGGAGGACCAUGGACCUGGCUACACACCCCAUAGGGUGACAUAGCAGUGACUCUCAGACCUCUAACACUCCAGUGAUACAAGACCUGAACAAGGCUCUGGACCACUUGGAAACUGUCUUCUUAUGUGGAGGACACAUGACGCUAAGUCCAAAAGGCUCCUGGGAACCAAAUUGCACUCUGCAGCAAUGUGAUUAGCUCCCAUAUUGCACAAAUGAGCAAGCUCUGCCCAGAGCAGAGCAAGCUUCCCAGCUUGCUUUGUUGCAGUCCACACAAUCUGCCAGCUGGGCAGGGAGGAGGGGAAUCCAGAUAGAUCCGAGAGGAGCGGGAGCAGCAGGAUGUGUCUGGCACCAUGCUUCUAACCCAUCAAUCCUCAGCCAUUUUUCUCCAUGCCAGAAGAUGGUUCCUGGGCCAGGCAUAAGGCUGGCUCUGGGCUGGCCUGCUCUGUAUCCUCAUUAGGCAGCACCAUGUGCUAAGAGCAGAAAACUGCCAGCUUUGCCUGAAUAAAAGGAUGAACUUGUUGGGGUAAAAUUUACAACUGUCUCUAAACUUCUAGCUCAAAUAUUUGACUGAGCAAAAUCCCCAACAUUUUUUUGCAAGUUUGAGGAGUCCAUGUAAUUUCAUUCUGUUUUCACUGAUGCCUUUAUUUAAUUCUCGUAACAAAAGGGUAAACAAUUGGAGCCAAUCAGUAUCAGAAAGGCUUUCAGCUUCAGGAUCUGCAGCUCACAGGGAAGACUGGAUUUCUGGUGAGUGUUCUCUUGAAAAGUUUCUGAAGAAUCCCCACUCCUGUGGGGUGUUAUUUCCACAAAUUUAAAUCACCCUCUCUCGAUAUCCAAGGAGCUGGUGUGCCCAGGGUUGUAGUGAGGAUGGAGGCACGCCAAGACAGCGGAGCUCUGCCUGCUGCCUGGCAGAUGAUGGUGUCCCCCUGCAGUGGCAUCUGCUGACCCAGCUCUGGAGGUCAUUAGAAAGAUGCUGCGUUUCUCACCAGGCCAUGCAUUUUACUGCAGGCCACUGCCUGCCUUUUCUGGACUUAAACGCUUUCAUCACUCUGUAUGGGAGCCGUACUGCCAAGGGGAGCUGAGCCUUUGAAAAAUCUUGCCCUUUCCUAGACCGCAGUGUUUUUGCUGUUUGUUUUAUUUAGCUCUGUUGACCCCAGAAACCUCCAGGGUUACUUUAAGGAAACAAAACAUGUCUGUUGGCUAGAUGCAACCAAGCUAUGAAACACGACGGGUAUUUAUUCUCAGAGCCCCAUGUCUCCGGCAGUACGAACUUACUUCUUGUACCUUAUUCGAGCCCAGCUACUAGAGCAUGGCAUGCACAUUGCAACUUAUCUGUGCUGCAAUCUCUUUGGGCUACUCAGUGGGGACCUUCUUGCAUUAUGCUUUCAAGGGAAGAAACCAGGACCCUGGAUGGUGAAAAAAUGACUUCUGCAACCACAUUUUUUCUGAGUCAUUGACUGCUCUCUGUUUGCAUGAGGUGGAACAUCACCCUCCUAAAAGCAGUCACUGCCACAAAGGGAAAGACCCAUAAGCAGACCUUAGAAAAUAAUAUUGAAUUCAUUUGACAUAUUAAACCCAGCAGAGACUCGCAGCAAAGCAUCUGCAGGGAUAUGUUAGCAAAUGCCCUCUGCCUAGGUGAGGGGUUCCUGGAUGAAGUGCCUUAAAUCAAGGAAGUGGUGGAGGAGAUGACAGAGAAGAAAUGCUCA